CGCAUUAGUGACGCGCGGGGUAUUGUCAGAGAAAUUAGGGUGAAUACAUCAAACUAUUCCCUUACGAGAACCAGUCGAGAUCAACCCUUCUUUAUAAUUGUUUGGUGUUUAUAUAAAAACGAAGUAUUAUUUGACUCUUGUGAUAAUCAACUUAUCAAAUGAAAUUGAUGUACAUGACAUUUGCUGUUGUUUUGGAAUGGCAUCCACAACAAAUAUACAGCUUACAAAUACAGAAGCAAUUACUUUACAGUGACAAAAAAAAAAAACUCAAAACCGGAAACUGGUCACAGAUAUGAGGUAUUUUGACAGACUUAUUAGACACUGGGGAUAAUCACAUUCAUAUAUCUUCGAAGUGCAGAACACACAAACAUUGAAUAACAUCACAAAUACAUCAGAAUAUAGGUUUUUUUACACAUAAUAUGAGACAAUUUACUUAAAAAAAAGUUUCAUAAUGCAAAUAAAAACAUCUCUCUAUUUUACUCAAAAUGAAUUUUAAGUUGUUGUAAAAAUUAUUAGUAUUUAACAAGAUUCACUUCAAGACACGUAGAAAAAUCUGUGAUUAAAUAGCUAUCGCAAGAAGUAUAUAUACCAAGACUAUAAAAAUAAUCUGUGGGAAGGCAAGUCUUAUAUUCAGCAAAAUUUGUAUAUCAAUGUUAAUUAUAAAGAAGCAGUCAUAUAAGCAGACACAAAUUUAUAGUUUUAGUCCCAAUGUUCAAUUUUAUAUAAUAAAAAUAAGUAAAGAGUCUAUUAUCUACAUCCAAGGCUUACAAUAAGAGAAUUAGGAUUUCAAAUUUGACAUGAAAAAAUUGAACAUAUCUUGGUGCGCAAGAACAGUGCUACCACGAAGACAAGUGGAAGGGACUUGUACAUUUUUGGAAAACUACAUAUUAUAUAUAUAUAUAUACUUCCUUCUUAUUAAUAUCUAAUAGGACAAAGUGCACUUACAGCAUUCGUGGUAAUACUGUGUGAAUAUACUUUCAUUUUUUAUAUUACAUAUAGUUCCAAUUUUAAAUUAUAGAAAAUAUAGAAUAUAGAAAAUAAGGCCAAAUAAUACCCAUUCAAAGCACUUGGCUGACAAUCAGAAAAUAUUUCUUUCAAGAUUUCAAUAAACAUUUUAAUAUGUCAAUAAUUUGUAAGUUACAUUUAGGCCUAUAUUGUCAUUAUUAUUUGAUUAGCAUAAAAUUGAUAAUUGUUAAUAUUUGAUGUCAACAUUGUUUUAAUAUUUUUUUAACCAUCAAUACAAUGAAUGGUAUAAAUCUUAGAAAAUUAUAUAGGUAUUCAUUUAAAAUUUAGUUAAUAUUGUCCAAUUGUAACAAUGUGAUAAGAGUGAAAUUGCUCUAUAUAUAUACUUUAAAAUAUAUUAACCGAUGUCAUCGUACCCUAGUUUCAUUACAUCUCGCUACAUUCAUAAUAUCACUCGGGCGAACACAUCUAAAUAUCCGCCCCGAUUGUCUUUUUAAGCAUAUAAAUCAAUAUUACAGUUAUAUAUUAUAACAUUCAAUCAACUCGGAACAGACAGGCUACUGAACACACAACACUGACUGAAGCAUACUGGUAAUGUACCAACAACCAUCUACGCUAUUUGUUCGGUGCCAUCUAGUCGAGCACUUAUUAACCGACUUCGCUCUUCACGUAGAACAGUAAGUAUGGUGUUGCUGCGGAGCGCAUUUUCGGCUCGGCGGAUAAUAGAUCCUCGAACUCUUCAUUUGAUAUGGGUUUGACGAGGUCGUCGUCGCAGGCCAGCCAGCAGGUGUCUAGCCGAGGGCGCGGUACACAGCAAUCGUUGGCAGCGCAGCCAGAUGGUUGUGCUCUCGGGCGAUUAAAUAGAGUUCGCAUGAAGCUUGAGCCGCUGUUGGUAGAUGCCGCAUCACCACCGCCAGUUCUCUCACAUUUGCUGGCCACCUCGCCGUCACCGUUGGAACGAUCUCUCGCGUACGCUACAUAGUGGCCACCGGUCAACGCCUGACCAAGGUGCAUUAUCACCGCCCAUAGGAUGUAUCUGAAAUUAAUAUUAUAUAUAAAUGCCUUGACAUUAGGGUUUAAAGUUUAAACUAAGUGAAUAUUUUUUUUUUAAUUUGACGUCAUUCGAAAUUUCAUAAAAAUUACGUAACAUGGGUCUGUCUAUUCAUAUGUUAUCUUGCUUUCGUUAAUGUAAUAGAGAUUUAUCUUUAUAGGUACAUUUAAAUUGAAGAGUAUAGUAUGGUAUGAAAAUGAAUAGUCACGAGAAGGAUUCAAGCUACCACCAUUUUAUUGUGUUGUCAAACUGUUUACCUGUGUGUGGGUGGAUGAUCAGGUGGCCGUUUGGCACACGGCUCACAGAAGCAAGGCAUGAGAAGUGGCGUGGGCGCGUGUCUUGUGAUCUUUUCCAUGCCGCCGCUGAAGCGCUUGAGCUGCAACACUAACAGCCGUGGCAGUCGCGAAUACGCGACACUGCGUCUAGCCUCGUUGUAGCGCAGGCAGCGCUCACACCAAUACUGUUACCAUAUGAUAUAUUGAACGAACUGUAAAAAUAUACUAUCAUGACUAACUACUAACCUCUGAGCUACUCUAAACGUUAUGGUCUAUAAUUAAAAAAUAAUGUUGUUAGGGAGAGAUGGAGGAUUCAUCUUACGAAGACAAAAUCCUCCUUGUGGAAAGUACAGCAAUUUUUUUUUUGUUUUUUUUUUCUUCCACAGGUUUAAAGACUGAACCAUAACAUUAUACAGUAGAUGGAAAAACAUAAGGCCUUUGGAUUUCUGGAACUUAUAUUUAACUAAUAGAAUUAAAAAACAAUUAAUAGUACUAUUUUUGUAAAUUAAAUCUAUUUUUUUAUUAAACCUAUGAAUUGUAUGUCUGAAGAAUAAUGAAUUUUUAACAUAAAACAGUUUUAAUUAUUGCCAUUUAAGAAUCCUAUUAAUGUUGAUAGUGUGGAAUGUUAACAAAAUUGGUUAAAUUUAAGUCUCAUAAAAGGUAAGUGAUAUUGUAAGUAUUGUUUUGCCAAGUUAUAUAUUAUGUAUGAUCCUAAAGCUUUGAUUAAAAUGAGUAAAAUAUUA